UUGACUGUGUUUUAAAGCGCAGCAAGUCAAUUGCGCAUCUUAUUUAUCCCAUAGGGGCAACGCGAUAAUAAUUAAAAUGGCGCAACACGCAAUUACAAUAGUAGAUCGUAUCGGAAUCACGCUCGCGGUAUAAUUCCGCGCCGUGCCGCUCCGACGUGUAUCUUGGCGCCUUCGCGUAAAAAGAAGGAGCGUGGGAAUCGUUUGUGAUUUGGGAUAUUCGACUUUUGUAAAAAAAAAAAACUUGCGCGCGCAUUACGUAUAUACACUGCGUAUUGCGAGAAUUAUAUGUUCACUUGACAAAAAAGGAGAUAAAAAAGUGCAAUGUACUAUAUAGAUAUGUGUUGCCCUUGCAGCUUAUAGAUAUGUGCCCCCGUCAAUAAGGGGGAGCGACAUUUUAUCAUUUUACCAUCAUCUAGCCAUUUCAUUACAAUAGUUGUGUUCUAUUUAAUUUAUGUUGCGGCCGCUUAUAAUUUAACGCACGACUAUUAUUUUUUAACUUGUUUUUAUUUUGCAACUUAUAAUUGGGCGGAAUCAGAAAAUCUCAGCUAGUGCAGACACUCGACACGGUACAAAUUAAAUAAAAAAAAAAAAACUAAAGCGUAAUAGUAUAGCACUAAAGUGAUUUAAAUGAGGAAAGCCACUCCCCAGUUCCCUAGCCUUACAGUGAGAAAUGAAAAUGGAAUCGAUAUCGAUUCGACAGUCGAAAUCAUCAAACUGUAAAUAUCGUUUCGAUGUCGAUUCGAUAGGAUAGCCGGAUAGGUUAAGUUAUUUCUGGACGUCAUAUUAAUAGCUGGUUCAUCGCGAGUUUUGAAAAUGUCAAAAAAUAAUUAUAUCAAAGAUUAUAGAUCGAGCGAGCAAAUAAAUAAUAAAUACGCUGGAAGAUACGAUAAAAUAUAACGAUCGCUUUUACGUAACAGCGAUUAGUAUCGUUGCAGAAUGUGAAGAAUGUGCAGAAUUGCAAUCGAAAUGAAUAGAUUCCUCGCAUAUUCUCAUCGACACGUCUCACGAGGAAUUCCGAUCAAUCGAUUGAAAUUUGGAAGAAAGGUAAAAAUUUGCAAAAUUUCUCUCCGUUUUCAUCCUCGUACACGCACGUACGCACGUGUUCUAUUACGCAGCAUCGGUUGGCUGCACCUCUCGCACACGCGGCGGAUCACGCGACGAGUUCGUACGGAUGUGCUCUUGUAUAUACCAUACAUACAUGCGUGCAUCAUAUGUUAUAUAUUUAGUUGUGUACAUGCAUUACACACGCAUACACACAGGCGCGCGCGCGUGUGCAUGCACAUUCAUAGACGCGGUAGUAUAUAUCGUAUCGUCAUCAUCGCAGAAGUGGAGUGAGGUAGAGGCCACCCACUCUUUCCCACAGCAGGUUUUUCCCACGCCCCCCAGGAUAACCCCAACAUCCUUUUGCGGCAGCAAUUCCACGGUUCGUGGGGGCGCCGCCGCUACGUGGGGAGAAGAGAGAGAGGAGGUCGGAUGGAAACGCGGGCGCGAUGGAGGGAAGGCGCGAGGCGCGAGUACGAGGGGAGCGGUGUACGCGACGCGCGUCGUGUGGUGGGAGACAGAGCUGGCAGAGGGCAGAGGGAUCUAGAGGCAGUAGAGGCGCUCGGGUCGACACCGCCGGGCCAUUGUACAACAGUAAAACAAUAGAAUCUGCAGCAUCAGUGACGUAUCCGCGUGCGCGCGGUCGCCAAGUUUCGUGAGCGGUUAAAAAAAAAAAGAAAAAGAAAAAG
rnacentral:lncRNA from 13 species